UAUGGCUGGCCUAAGCAUGAAGUGAAGAAGAACAAAGAAAGAACAAAACCUAGGUGGGAAAAUUAAAGAAAAAGUAUGGGAUUUUAAGGAAUUAAGCAAUCAAAGGUGGUGAAUCCUCCGAUAAAGGUAAGAAAAUUGUACUCGAGGAUCGGUAGUCAGAGUACUCUAGAAAUUCGACUCUCGAAAUAGCUCAGAUUAGACUGUAGAUAGCUGAUCUCAUCGAGGACUA